rnacentral:rRNA from 1 species
UACGGGGGGAGCAAGCGUUGUUCGGAUUUACUGGGCGUAAAGGGCGCGUAGGCGGCCAGCACAAGUCAGUUGUGAAAUCUCCGAGCUUAACUCGGAAAGGUCAACUGAUACUGUGCGGCUAGAGUGCAGAAGGGGCAACUGGAAUUCUCGGUGUAGCGGUGAAAUGCGUAGAGAUCGGGAGGAACACCUGUGGCGAAGGCGGCCGUCUGGGCCGACCCUGACGCUGAGGCGCGAAGGCGUGGGGAGCGAACGGG